rfam:Triticum urartu cultivar G1812 contig355312, whole genome shotgun sequence.
UUUAUACUUUCUUUGUCCGGAAAUACUUGUUCUAGAAAUGAAUAAAAUGAAUGUAUCUAUCACUAAAUUAAGUCUAGAUACAACAUUUUUGGGACAAGUAUUUUCGAACGAAGGAAGUAUAGG